CAGCAGUAGCCACGGUAAUACGGAGGGUGCAAGCGUUACUCGGAAUCACUGGGCGUAAAGGACGCGUAGGCGGAUUAUCAAGUCUCUUGUGAAAUCUAACGGCUUAACCGUUAAACUGCUUGGGAAACUGAUAAUCAAGAGUAAGGGAGAGGCAGAUGGAAUUCUUGGUGUAGGGGUAAAAUCCGUAGAUAUCAAGAAGAAUACUUAUUGCGAAGGCGAUCUGCUGGAACUUAGCUGACGCUAAUGCGUGGAAGCGUGGGGAGCAAACAGGAUUAGAUACCCCAGUAGUCCCUGUCUCUUAUAC
rnacentral:rRNA from 1 species